rnacentral:lncRNA from 1 species
GGAGCCGGGCUGUUCCACGCUCACUGCGCGCCUCGGGCGGCGGGGCUCGGGCUCUGUCCGAGGUGCUGAACUCCGGGGCUCCGGCCGCGCCGGCAGAGUGUGCCAGCGUCCAUUAUUGCCAGUGUCUGUGGGCAUCUUCCAGAAGGCCGAGCAUGGGGGUCAGGUGAAACCAGGGCGGCCUGCACAGUGGCAGCAGCUGUGGCCAGAGGGACACAGUGGGCACAGAGGCCCAGGGAGAGGAGCAGAGGCCAGCAGGAAACAGCAAAUGCAGAGGCCCAAAGUGACCAGGACACUGUCCUUGUGCACACCCUGGGAGGAGCCGAUGUCUAAAGAAGGGCUGAAGCCUGAAAAUCUGGCAGGACUAGAGCUCAAAGUCAUGGCCGCUUGGGGCAUUGUUAGAAAUGUGCCUCCUUGUGUUCUCCCAGUGAUGUGAUAAAGGUGGCAUCUCACUGAAAAGGACCAGGGUUAGGAGGGCUCAGGAGCUAUGGGGUGGCCCAGGGACAGACAGCUGCUCAUCAAAAUCAGUGUCAAAGCUGCAUGUGCAGCCCUGGUGCUCGGGGGGCUGUGGUGCA